GUCAGGCUCAGGUCUCUUGACAGGAUACAUCCGGCAUCCGGGGAAACGUCGAGGGGUGGGGUGGAAUCUAUUUUGUGGCCUCAAGGGAGGUUUUGAGAGAUAGUCUUGCAAACGUGAUGGCCUAAGGAAGCCCCUCUGCCCAAGAAGCCAUAUUCAUUUGUAUCCUGUAGCCACCCACGAGGGAGAAUCCGGCUCUCUACAGACACCCCAACCCCCACCCCACCCCACCCCCUGCCUCGUGAAAUGAGCUCUCGCUCCAUCAGGCUCUAUUCACACCGUCUGGUUUUGUAACCUCCAGCGUGUGUGCAUGGGUUGCGGGGUGGGGUGGGGGCGGCUGUGGACAGAGAAGGGGAUAAAGCGGCGGUGUCCCAUGGGUGCCCGGGACGUGGGACAUGAGUAGAGUGGCCAGAGCCUAGUUAACUCAUCGCCUGUCAGGACGUCUCCCCUCCUGGUCCCCUCUCUGACCUACGCUCCACAUCUUAGCAGUUCAGUGGGGACCUUGUGGGUGGAAGUUGCCAACCCUUUGUACUUUAGCCGACGAAGACUGGGCUCCCAAGAGUCUCCCCGGAGUCGGGGCCUUGGGCAGGUUCACAAGGAUCCUGAUGGCGACGGUUGGUGAUGGUGAUGUAAGUUGGAAGCCUCGGACCAAAUCAGAGGUAUCCAUUUGACCUCGGUGGGACAGGUCAGCUUUGCGGAGUUCCGUGCGUCCUUCCAGAGAUUCAUCCAGCGCUAGCAAGCAUGGUCCCGAGGAUCCCAGCUCCCAGCAGAGGCAAUUUUGUUCACACAGAAUCCUGGGCAGGAAAGUUCUCAGCAGAUUUAGGCCUCCUAGCCAAAAAGUCAAAGCCACUUCUGGGAUUUUUUUUCAAAGAGCCAAUGGUUCCACAAUGGGCCAUGGGUAGUUGUGGAAAUGGAGAGACGUGUUUGCAGAUACAUAUUUGAGACAGAACGGACAGGGCUCGGUCACAGUUCAUGUAGGACACGAGCAGAUGCACAUUGAGAAAACCUUCCCAGCAUCCUAGGUGAACAGAGGUAUGAUUUUUUGAGACAGUCGAGGGAGACGCAACCCCAGAUUUUAGGGUUGGAUCUUUAUUAAUAUGUAGUAUCUAUGAGGAAUCCAAGUCCAGAAAUCAACUCGCCAGUUCUGUACAGCAUUCUGUAGGGAGAUCAAAUCUGGGAUGUCUAAAGUUAAGAAUUCAGGCCGUGGUAAUGGAUUAGAUUAGACGUACUUGAACUUAUUUUGCAAAGAAAGAGAGGGUGGGAGAUAGCGAGAGCCAGAGAGAAGGCGAGAGAGAGAGAGAGAGAGAGAGAGAGAGAGACAAAGACAGAGACAGAGAGAGACAGACAGAGAGACACAAAGAUACACAAAGAGAGAAAGACAGAAAGAGAGAGAGAGACAGACAGAUAAAGACACAGACAGAGAAAGACAGAGAUGGACAGAGACAGAGAGAAACAGAAAGAGAGACAGACAGAGACAGACAGGCAGACAGUCAGAGAAAGAGAGUAAGACAGAAGACACAGUGAGAGAGACAGGCAGAGAGAGACAGACAGAGGUAGAGAGAAAGAAAGAGAGACAGACAUGGAGAGAGAGAGACAGAGAGAAACAGACAGAAAGAGAGACAGACAGAGAGUGAGAGAGAGAGAGAGACAGAAAGAGAGGGAGAGGGACAGACAGAGAGAGACAGACGGGUAGAGAAAGAGAGUAAGACAGAAAUAGGCACAGACAGAGAGAGACAGCGAGAGAGACAGACAGAGAGACUCAGAAAAAGAAAUAGAGAGACAGAGAAAAACAGAGAGAGACAGAGAGAAACAGAGACAGAGAGAGACAGAGAGAAACAGACAGAAAGAGAGAGACAGAGAGAGAGAAACAGAGAGGGAGGGAGAGAGAGAGAGACAGGCAGAGAAAGAGAGUUAGACAGAAGACAGACACCGUGAGACAGGCAGAGAGAGAGAGAAAGAAAGAGACAGACAGACAGGCAGACAGAGAAAGAGACAGAUAAAGACAGAGAUGGACAGACAGAGACAGAGAGAAACAGACAGAAAGAGAGAAAGUCCUAGCCCAGUAGCGAUACAGUGCCUUCUCUUUCAUUUUAUCUUUCUUUUCUGGUCUUUUCUUUUCUUUUCUUUUCUUUUCUUUUCUUUUCUUUUCUUUUCUUUUUUUUCUUUUUUUUCUUUUUCUUUUCUUUUCUUUUUUCCUUUCUUCUUUUCUUUUCUCUUUCUUUCUUUC
rnacentral:lncRNA from 10 species